rnacentral:lncRNA from 1 species
CUAUAGGGGCAGUAUUUAUGGGGUCAGUAUUUAUGGGGCCCUAUAGGGCCAUAUAGGGGGCUCGGGGGCUCUAUAGGGGGCUGUGGGGGCCCUAUAGGGGCAGUAUUUAUAGGGCAGUAUUUACGGGGCCCUAUAGGGCCAUAUAGAGGCUCGGGGGCCCUAUAGGGUAUUUAUGGGGCCCUAUAGGGGCUGUAGGGCCCUAUAGGGGCAGUAUUUAUGGGGUCCUAUAGGGCCAUAUAGGGGGCUCGGGGGCCCUAUAGGGUAUUUAUGGGGCUCUAUAGGGGCUGCGGGGCCCUAUAGGGGCAGUAUUUAUGGGGCCCUAUAGGGGGGGGUUCUGGGACCCUAUAGGGGG